GCGGUCGUGGUGGAAUUGGUAGACACGCUAGGUUGAGGGCCUAGUGGGGGAUAACCCUGUGCUGGUUCAAGUCCAGUCGGCCGCA
rnacentral:tRNA from 1 species